CAUGCUGCGAGUUGUAGAUUGCAGGUGGGAGAGUCUGCGUAGGCCGGUGUCGAAGUCCCUUGGAACAGGGCGCCACUGAGGGUGAGAGCCCCGUGCGAUGCCACGCUCUACGUUUUGUACUCCCCUCUGACGAGUCGAGUUGUUUGGGAAUGCAGCUCUAAGUGGGUGGUAAAUUCCAUCUAAGGCUAAAUACUGGCGAGAGACCGAUAGCGAACAAGUACUGUGAAGGAAAGAUGAAAAGCACUUUGAAAAGAGAGUGAAACAGCACGUGAAAUUGUUGAAAGGGAAGGGUAUUGGGCCCGACAUGGGAAUCGCGCACCGCUGCUCCUUGUGGGCGGCGCUCUGGGCUUUUCCUGGGCCAGCAUCGGUUCUUGCUGCAGGAGAAGGGGCUGUGGAAUGUGGCUGCCGCGCUUUGCCGGGGCAGUGUUAUAGCCACUGGGCCAGAUGCUGCGUGUGGGGACCGAGGACUGCGGCCGC
rnacentral:rRNA from 1 species